GUGGAUUAGAUACCCUGGUAGUCCUAGCCGUAAACGAUGGACACUAGGUGUUGGUGGUAUCAACCCCGCCAGUGCCGAAGCUAACGCAUUAAGUGUCCCGCCUGGGGAGUACGGCCGCAAGGCUAAAACUCAAAGGAAUUGACGGGGGGCCCGCACAAGCAGCGGAGCGUGGGGUUUAAUUCGACGCAACGCGAAGAACCUUACCAGGACUUGACAUGACCAGGAAAACGGCGGAAACGUCGUCCCCCCGCAAGGGGCCUGGCCACAGGUGUUGCACGGCUGUCGCCAGCU
rnacentral:rRNA from 1 species